GCAUGUGCGUGUCUGGGAUCUAGCAGACUGUUCAAAGUAAGAGUCACCUCUGUAGCUCCACACGCUUCUGCCUCUGGCCCCACCCAGGCAACACCACCACCCUGGAAGGUUGUCCGUGAGGAAAUUAUGUUCUGAUGCUGGAAAAAGACAACCCAGAAGAGCAAUCCAUCAAUGAAUACCUGGCAGGAUCAGAUCUGCGACUCUUAUCUAAGGACCACAGCAACUUCAUGGACAGUCACUGAUCAGGAGGUCAACAAUGCCAUCAAGAGACAACAGAGGUGGGGAACCCUUUCCAUCCUGGUGGCCACAUUCCCUUCUGGACCAUCUUCAGAGAUCUACAUGCCAGUGCUGGGCGGGGCCAGAGGCAAAUGUGGGCAGAGCAACCAAUGCAAAUUUUAUUUUUGUACAGUAGUCUAGUUUCUAUACACACUCACAUCCCUCUGUCCUCCGUCCCAGUAAGCAAGCAGCAUUAUCAGAGCUGAAGGGCACAUUCUAGCCAGGCCAAAACACUUGGGGUGUGAAGGACGGCCAGUGAGGCAUGUGGCUUAGGGAGAUGGGGUGUGGUCUGCGGAGAGUCUUGAGGGGCCAGAUAGAGAUGUGUGGAGGGCAGAGCUUGGAAAAGUUACUUUUUGAACUACAGCUCCCAUCAGCCCCAGCCAGCGCCAUGCUGGUUGGGGCUGAUGGGAGUUGUAGUUCAAAAAAGUAACUUUCCCAAGCUCAAGUGGAGGGCUACAUUCAGGCUGCGAGCUUGAGGUUCCCCGCCCCUGCCUUACAAGGCCUGCUGGGAAUUGUAGUAGUACUACAGAAAUACCAAUAAACUAUAAGGAGGCUGCACUACUAUACCCACAGAAGCACCUUGCACCCUGCGAUCAUUUCGUAGGACAAACGAAUUAAAUGUGCGUGCCCCAUUCACAAGUGACAGCAAUGCCCCUGUAUUUUGCCAUUUAUAUUUUAAAAUAAAUAUUUUUAAAUUAAAAAAAUGUGAAAAAACAAAAUAAAAACAUGAUAGAAAAAGCCA